GGGCGGAUAGCUCAGCGGGAGAGCAUCGGCCUUACAAGCCGGGGGUCGCAGGUUCAAAUCCUGUUCCGCCUACCA
rnacentral:tRNA from 6 species